AGUGAACGCUGGCGGCGUGCCUAAUACAUGCAAGUCGAACGGAGUGGCGCACGGGUGAGUAAUAUAUAGCUAAUCUGCCCCUUGCUGGGGGACAAAAGUUAGAAAUGACUGCUAAUAAUCCAUAGCAAGGGAUGAGACGAUAUCGUGUCAGCUAGUCGGUGGGGUAACGGCCUACCGAGGCUAUGACGCGUAACUGGUAUGAGAGGAGGAUCAGUCAAAUUGUAACUGAGACACGGGCCAAACUCCUACCGGAGUCAGCAGUAGGGAAUAUUGCGCAAUGGGGGAAAACCUGACGCAGCAACGCCGCGUGGAGGAUUACACUUGUCGGAGCGUAAACUCCUUUUGUUAGGGAAGCGGUACCUAACGAAUAAGCACCGGCUAACUCCGUGCCAGCAGCCGCGGUAAUAC
rnacentral:rRNA from 1 species